rnacentral:rRNA from 1 species
CAAGCCGAGCGGUGUUGUUUCUUCGGAAAUGGGAGAGCGGCGUACGGGUGCGGAACACGUGUGCAACCUGCCUUUAUCUGGGGGAUAGCCUUUCGAAAGGAAGAUUAAUACUCCAUAAUAUAUUGAUUGGCAUCAAUUAAUAUUGAAAGCUCCGGCGGAUAGAGAUGGGCACGCGCAAGAUUAGCUAGUUGGUGAGGUAACGGCUCACCAAGGCGAUGAUCUUUAGGGGGCCUGAGAGGGUGAUCCCCCACACUGGUACUGAGACACGGACCAGACUCCUACGGGAGGCAGCAGUGAGGAAUAUUGGUCAAUGGGUGCAAGCCUGAACCAGCCAUCCCGCGUGAAGGACGACUGCCCUAUGGGUUGUAAACUUCUUUUGUAUAGGGAUAAACCUACCCUCGUGAGGGUAGCUGAAGGUACUAUACGAAUAAGCACCGGCUAACUCCGUGCCAGCAGCCGCGGUAAUACGGAGGGUGCAAGCGUUAUCCGGAUUUAUUGGGUUUAAAGGGUCCGUAGGCGGACUUAUAAGUCAGUGGUGAAAGCCUGUCGCUUAACGAUAGAACUGCCAUUGAUACUGUAAGUCUUGAGUAUAUUUGAGGUAGCUGGAAUAAGUAGUGUACGUAGGCGGACUUAUAAGUCAGUGGUGAAAGCCUGUCGCUUAACGAUAGAACUGCCAUUGAUACUGUAAGUCUUGAGUAUAUUUGAGGUAGCUGGAAUAAGUAGUGUAGCGGUGAAAUGCAUAGAUAUUACUUAGAACACCAAUUGCGAAGGCAGGUUACCAAGAUAUAACUGACGCUGAGGGACGAAACCUUACCAAGACUUAAAGUGGGAAUUGNCAGUUUUAGAAAUAGAACUUUCUUCGGACAAUUUUCAAGGUGCUGCAUGGUUGUCGUCAGCUCGUGCCGUGAGGUGUUAGGUUAAGUCCUGCAACGAGCGCAACCCCUGUCACUAGUUGCCAUCAUUCAGUUGGGGACUCUAGUGAGACUGCCUACGCAAGUAGAGAGGAAGGUGGGGAUGACGUCAAAUCAUCACGGCCCUUACGUCUUGGGCCACACACGUAAUACAAUGGCCGGUACAGAGGGCAGCUACACAGCGAUGUGAUGCAAAUCUCGAAAGCCGGUCUCAGUUCGGAUUGGAGUCUGCAACUCGACUCUAUGAAGCUGGAAUCGCUAGUAAUCGCGCAUCAGCCAUGGCGCGGUGAAUACGUUCCCGGGCCUUGUACACACCGCCCGUCAAGCCAUGGAAGCUGGGGGUACCUGAAGUCGGUGACCGUAAAAGGAGCUGCCUAGGGUAGAACUAGUAACUAGGGCUAAGUCG